rnacentral:misc_RNA from 1 species
CUAAGAUAUACAUUACGUAGAGUCUCUAUCUCUCUAGCUAAUUUUCAAUGCAUAUGCUUAUCCGUAUAUAUUGUUCACUUAAGCACUACAUAUUGCAUUUGCAUGUUAGUCAGGGAUAUGAAUGACUGAGAAAAUCUUUAUGCAAUUUUUUGGCACGUGAUCUACAUUUUGUCACUAUAAUAUGUGGAACACGUUGUUCAUAUUCCUUACCAACUCUUACUGCAUUAUUACACCUUGGUAGUUGAUACAACAUUCUCACAAAAUUUGACUGGUAGUAGUAAUUGUUUAAGAUUGUGGUAGUUUCACCAAUUUGAUUUUUGAAAUUACAACUUUAUCUUUAUAAUCUGGGAAAUGGUUUUUUGUGUUUUCAUAAUUUGGGGGUGUGUAUGUUGAAAUUUGAGUGAGGACGAGCCUUGGCACAACAGUAAAAUUGCUUCUAUGAGACCUGGCACAAUAUUACAAUUGCUUCUAUGUGACCAGAAGGUUGUUUUCAAAUCAUGGAAACCACGUCUCUGAAAAAAAA